rnacentral:rRNA from 1 species
GACGAACGCUGGCGGCGUGCUUAACACAUGCGAGUCGAACGGAAAGGCCCUGCUUUUGUGGGGUGCUCGAGUGGCGAACGGGUGAGUAACACGUGAGUAACCUGCCCUUGACUUUGGGAUAACUUCAGGAAACUGGGGCUAAUACCGGAUAGGAGCUCCUGCUGCAUGGUGGGGGUUGGAAAGUUUCGGCGGUUGGGGAUGGACUCGCGGCUUAUCAGCUUGUUGGUGGGGUAGUGGCUUACCAAGGCUUUGACGGGUAGCCGGCCUGAGAGGGUGACCGGCCACAUUGGGACUGAGAUACGGCCCAGACUCCUACGGGAGGCAGCAGUGGGGAAUAUUGCACAAUGGGCGGAAGCCUGAUGCAGCAACGCCGCGUGCGGGAUGACGGCCUUCGGGUUGUAAACCGCUUUCGCCUGUGACGAAGUGUGAGUGACGGUAAUGGGUAAAGAAGCACCGGCUAACUACGUG